CCCGUGACGUGCGCGACUUCUUCGUGGACCUGGUGGAGAAGGUGAUCGAGCCGUGCCGCUCCGACAAGUGGAGCCCGGGGGACCUGAGGCUCUUCCUGACGCACUACACGGCAGCACCCCGAAACCUGCCGGGGUUCAGGCACCAAGCGCUGUGGGAGCGCUACAUGGCCGCCAUCAGCGCCUGCCUGCUGCGCAUGUACCACGACUGACCCCAAACUGUACCCCAAAAAUGGGGACAGCCUCAAGAGCUGCACCCCAAACUGCACCCCUGAAACGGACACAGCCCCAAAAACGGCGUCCUGAGGAUGCGGCGCCCCUGGGAAAGGAAAGGAUCCAGAACCUGCAAUGACCCCAAAAUGGGGGUACCCCAAAAGCUGAAGAUACCCCAAAAGCUGCGCUUGGGCAGCCUCCAAAUAUGGGACCCCAAAAAGGACAGGAAAUGUGAAAACCCAACGGGCCGAGGAUGGAGCAUCAGCACCCCAAAAUUUGGGUGUUUGGGGAACCUGCAGGAAAGGACCCCAAGCACCAGGACACCCCAAACCUGGGACACCCCAAAUCUCAAGGAGCAGCAGCGGCAGUGCCCCAAAAAUUGGGACAUUGGGAACAGGGAGACACCAAAAAAGAGGGGACCCCCAAAUUUGGGACUCCCCAAACCAGGGGUGCCCCUCCCGUGUGACCCCAAAAAUUGGGGUGGGGGUGCAAUAAAGAGCCGGAAUCGAG